AUAACUUGUGGCGUUUGAGGGCUUCACAGUUGGUUUGCGUCCACGGUCUUCAGAACUUUGUACACAGGUUUACAGUGUGGACUGCAGGUACAAAACAGUAGAUAUCAGAAUAGACUAAGGUGACCUUUCACAUCUAUCUCGCGAAGCCGGAAAGUUUUCAUUUCAGUUGAAAUAUUACAGCAAGUCUAGUCUGAUGUAUCAAAUAUUUCAGUUGAAGUUUUCAUGUAUUGAAAUAUUACGCUAGAUGCCUAUUCUUAUGUAUUAAACUUUCAUUCUACUUUGUAACAUUUUCUUAUUAAUAAGAUCAAAUUUAUGGUCCA